UACAGAGGGUGCAAGCGUUAAUCGGAAUAAUUGGGCGUAAAGGGUGCGUAGGUGGUUUUUUAAGUUGUGUGUGAAAGCCCCGGGCUUAACCUGGGAAUUGCAUACAAUACUGAGAGACUAGAGUCGGGUAGAGGGUAGUGGAAUUUCCGGUGUAGCGGUGAAAUGCGUAGAGAUCGGAAGGAACACCAGUGGCGAAGGCGGCUACCUGGACCCAGACUGGCGCUGAGGCACGAAAGCGUGGGUAGCAAACAGG
rnacentral:rRNA from 1 species